AAGUCGUAACAAGGUUUCCGUAGGUGAACCUGCGGAAGGAUCAUUAACAAAUUUUCCCAACCUCCCCACGUUUGUGAACUGUUAUCAAGCCCAUGGUGUGCUAUCAAAGUCGGCAUUGGCACGAACCAAUGCGCGGACUUUGUGGAGCAUCAUGUUGAUUUACAUUUUAUUUUACACCUGAACUGAGACUUUAUUUUAAUAAAGACAACUUUUAGCAACGGAUCUCUAGGCUCUC
rnacentral:misc_RNA from 1 species